rnacentral:rRNA from 1 species
UGUAGUCAUAUGCUUGUCUCAAAGAUUAAGCCAUGCAUGUCUAAGUAUAAGCAAUUACAAAGCGAAACUGCGAAUGGCUCAUUAUAUAAGUUAUCGUUUAUUUGAUAGUACCUUACUACAUGGAUAACCGUGGUAAUUCUAGAGCUAAUACAUGCUGAAAAUCCCGACUUCGGAAGGGAUGUAUUUAUUAGAUACAAAACCAAUGCCCUUCGGGGCUCUCUUGGUGAUUCAUGAUAACUUCUCGAAUCGCACGGCCCCGCGCCGGCGAUGGUUCAUUCAAAUUUCUUCCCUAUCAACUUUCGAUGCUACGGUAUUGUCCUAGCAUGGUUGCAACGGGUGACGGAGGGUUAGGGCUCGACCCCGGAGAAGGAGCCUGAGAAACGGCUACUACAUCCAAGGAAGGCAGCAGGCGCGCAAAUUACCCAAUCCCGAUACGGGGAGGUAGUGACGAUAAAUACCGAUACAGGGCUCUUUUGGGUCCUGUAAUUGGAAUGAGUACAAUUCAAAUCCCUUAACGAGGAACAAUUGGAGGGCAAGUCUGGU